GACUACUGGGGUAUCUAAUCCUGUUUGCUCCCCACGCUUUCGCUCCUCAGCGUCAAUAUCGGCCCAGAGACCCGCCUUCGCCACCGGUGUUCCUCCUGAUAUCUGCGCAUUUCACCGCUACACCAGGAAUUCCAGUCUCCCCUACCGAAUUCUAGUCUGCCCGUAUCGGCUGCAGGCCCGGGGUUGAGCCCCAGGUUUUCACAGCUGACGCGACAGACCGCCUACGAGCUCUUUACGCCCAAUAAUUCCGGACAACGCUUGCACCCUACGUAUUACCGCGGCUGCUGGCACGUAGUUGGCCGGUGCUUCUUCUGCAGGUACCGUCACUUGCGCUUCGUCCCUGCUGAAAGAGGUUUACAACCCGAAGGCCUUCAUCCCUCACGCGGCGUCGCUGCAUCAGGCUUUCGCCCAUUGUGCAAUAUUCCCCACUGCAGCCGCCCGUAGG
rnacentral:rRNA from 1 species